CAUAGCCCUUUGAAACGAAUACGGUGUGAAGCCUGCCCAGUGGGAAUUCUCCUCAACGGCCGCGGUAUCUUGACCGUGCAAAGGUAGCAUAAUCACUUGUCUCUUAAAUGGGGACCUGUAUGAAUGGCUUUUCAUUCUCUAGCUGUCUCCCUUCUUUUCCCUUUAAACUUCUAUUUACGUGAAGAAGCGUAAUUUCACAAGAAAGACGAGAAGACCCUGUCGAGCUUCAGCUAAACCUAGGUUACAUACUUUCUUUUUAAGAAAAAUAAAUUCCUCUAGACUAAGCUUUGGUUGGGGCAACCAUGGAGCAAAAGCAGCCUCCAGAUUUUCAGGUAGAAAACCAUUCUCCUAAGAUACACCUUAAGAACCAAAAAUUUUGGAAAACGGAAAAAGUUACCGCAGGGAUAACAGCGUUAUCUUUUCUAAGAGCUCUUAUUGACGAAAAGGAUUGCGACCUCGAUGUUGGAUUGGGGUAACCCGAGGGUGCAGCAGCUCUCAGAGGUUGGACUGUUCGUCCAUUAAUUCCCUA
rnacentral:rRNA from 1 species